UUGAAAGUCGAUAUGGCAACUUGUGAGAAAAUGGAAUCAACAUACUUUGAGACCAAGUUAUGCCACUCAGUGUCAAUUUUCUCAAUUAAAGUGCAUUUCACCCAGCAUUUCUCAAUUUCAAGUAACUUCCUAGACAGAAGUCAGAAUUUGUGCCCACUUCUCUGAGCUUGGAUUUUCUGACACGGACUUCUCUAGAUCUUGUUUAUGCUGUCACAGUCUAGGUUCUGCAAGAUGCAUGGACAGUCCAGAACAGAAGCCACAGGAUAAGUUUUAUACUAUGAUACUAGAUAAGAUUAUAAUAGCUGAUUAGUUUCAGGUUCCUGACCCAGUAUAUUACAAAGGUAUUUUUAUUUUAGAUUUUGGAAAUGUAAAUCUCGUAUUAAAAUGGAUUUAACAGCAUUCAACACAUUCCUUGUUUUAUAUUUCUAAGGAAAGUAGCUGGUUGCAAGACAAUUCAAAUUCAUUGCCUGCACUUCUCACAGAUUGUCUCUUUGAAGUACAGACACAGGCUAUGUUUCCAAUGCUCUGCUCAAGAACAUCAACCAGCUUAACAGCCUGAAACUAAAAUAAAAAUAAAUCGAAGACCAUUUUGGGGAGUAGAUAGAUAUAUUUUAUCAACACAAAGCAAGCAAGCAAACUAUAUCCCGUCAAAUUUUACCACCUCAAGGAAGAAGUCUUCAUACCUCAAUUAACUUUAAUGGAAGUACCUGAGACAAAAGAUUGCACAAAACUUUGUGUGCAAGUGAUGACAUUUCACAACGCCUUCAUAAAUACUUCUUGAAGAAGAGUCCAUGUAUCAUUUGAAAGUGUAUGUCAGUGUAGUUUCAUCUAAACCAAAUGGCAUUUUCAAAACUUUUAUAUCUUUAUUUAAUGGUUUCUUCCAGGACUGUAAGUAUUAAUAGAUUAUCAAAUUGAAAGAUGUUUGUUCUGACCUUCACAUACCUCCAUUUCUCCAGAGGUUUAAUGUCUCUUACCAUGUAACAGAUGAACAUUAGGUGAUUUCUCACUUCUCUAUGGUCUUACCCUGACUUCGUCACAGACAAAUGAUAAAUCAUAUGGUGUAUAAAACUCCGAAUAAU